rnacentral:rRNA from 1 species
CUUCGGAGCUCAAUAAUGGCGUCGAGCGGGCGUAGCAAUACGUCAGCGGCAGACGGGUGAGUAACGCGUGGGAACGUACCUUUUGGUUCGGAACAACACAGGGAAACUUGUGCUAAUACCGGAUAAGCCCUUACGGGGAAAGAUUUAUCGCCGAAAGAUCGGCCCGCGUCUGAUUAGCUAGUUGGUGAGGUAAUGGCUCACCAAGGCGACGAUCAGUAGCUGGUCUGAGAGGAUGAUCAGCCACAUUGGGACUGAGACACGGCCCAAACUCCUACGGGAGGCAGCAGUGGGGAAUAUUGGACAAUGGGGGCAACCCUGAUCCAGCCAUGCCGCGUGAGUGAUGAAGGCCCUAGGGUUGUAAAGCUCUUUUGUGCGGGAAGAUAAUGACGGUACCGCAAGAAUAAGCCCCGGCUAACUUCGUGCCAGCAGCCGCGGUAAUACGAAGGGGGCUAGCGUUGCUCGGAAUCACUGGGCGUAAAGGGUGCGUAGGCGGGUCUUUAAGUCAGGGGUGAAAUCCUGGAGCUCAACUCCAGAACUGCCUUUGAUACUGAAGAUCUUGAGUCCGGGAGAGGUGAGUGGAACUGCGAGUGUAGAGGUGAAAUUCGUAGAUAUUCGCAAGAACACCAUGGCGAAGGCGGCUCACUGGGCCGGUACUGACGCUGAGGCCGGAAGCGUGGGGAGCAAACAGGAUUAGAUACCUGGUAGUCACGCCGUAACGAUGAAUGCCACCGGUAGUGGGUUUACUCACUAGUGCGCACUACGCUUUAGCAUCGGCUGGGAU